AGAGUUUGAUCCUGGCUCAGGAUGAACGCUAGCGGCAGGCCUAACACAUGCAAGUCGAGGGAUAAGCCCUUCGGGGUGGAAACCGGCGCACGGGUGCGUAACGCGUAUGCAACCUACCUUUCACAGGGGGAUAGCCCGAAGAAAUUUGGAUUAAUACCCCAUAAUAUUGAAGAAUGGCAUCAUUUUUCAAUUAAAGUUACGAUGGUGAAAGAUGGGCAUGCGUCCUAUUAGCUAGUUGGAGUGGUAACGGCACCCCAAGGCUACGAUAGGUAGGGGUCCUGAGAGGGAGAUCCCCCACACUGGUACUGAGACAGGGACCAGACUCCUACGGGAGGCAGCAGUGAGGAAUAUUGGUCAAUGGUCGAAAGACUGAACCAGCCAUGCCGCGUGCAGGACAGACGGCCCUAGAGGUUGUAAACUGCUUUUAUAUGGGAAGAAUAAGGAGUACGCGUACUUUGAUGACGGUACCAUAUGAAUAAGCAUCGGCUAACUCCGUGCCAGCAGCCGCGGUAAUACGGAGGAUGCGAGCGUUAUUCGGAAUCAUUGGGUUUAAAGGGUCUGUAGGCGGGCUAUUAAGUCAGAGGUGAAAGGUUUCAGCUUAACUGAGAAAUUGCCUUUGAUACUGGUAGUCUUGAAUAUCUGUGAAGUUCUUGGAAUGUGUAGUGUAGCGGUGAAAUGCUUAGAUAUUACACAGAACACCGAUUGCGGAGGCAGGGGACUAACAGAUGAUUGACGCUGAGAGACGAAAGCGUGGGGAGCGAACAGGAUUAGAUACCCUGGUAGUCCACGCUGUAAACGAUGGAUACUAGCUGUUUGGCGUAAGCUGAGUGGCUAAGCGAAAGUGAUAAGUAUCCCACCUGGGGAGUACGCACGCAAGUGUGAAACUCAAAGGAAUUGACGGGGCCCGCACAAGCGGUGAGCAUGUGGUUUAUUCGAUGAUACGCGAGGAACCUUACUAGGUUUAAAUGGGACUGACAGGGUAGAGAUACUUUUUCUCGGACAGUUCAAGUGCUGCAUGAUGUCGUCAGCCCGUGCGUGAGGUGUCAGGUUAAG
rnacentral:rRNA from 1 species